rnacentral:lncRNA from 1 species
CAGCAAGCAGACGGUUCUGCCAGGGUCGCGAAAACCCAGUGAACUGGCUGUUGUCCCUGAGGGUCAGAAAGGCAGUGCGGAGCCUCUCGGCGCCAAGUCUCAGAAGGGCAGUGCUAUACUUGAGCCCCAGGUGCCUGCGUCCAGGACAGGCAGCAAAGCAGCUGUCCCUCCUGGGUCCCGAAAGCCCAGUGAACCUGCCACUUCUCCCGAGCGCUUCAAGGGCAAGGAGGAAACCGCAGUGCCCGAGUCCCAGGGGGACAGUGAGGAAACCGCAGUGCCUGCGUCAGGAAGGGGCAGCAGAUCGUUCGUCCCUCCUGGGUCCCAAAAGACGAGUGAACUGGCUGUUGGCCCUGGGGGCUGGAGAGAAAGUGAAGAGCCCGCCGUGUUCGGGUCGAAGAGGGACGGGGAGUCCAGGCAGAGCAGCCAAGCAGCCGUGCUUCCAGGGUCCCGGAAGCCUAGCGAGCUGACUACGAAUCCUGUGGGUUGGAGAGGCGACGAAGAGCCUGCUGCUGCCCAGUCCCAGAGGACCAGCGCGGAACCCAGCGUGCCUGGGUCCAGGAAAAGCAGCAAACAAGCCAUUAUUCUAGGGUCCCGCAAACCCAGUGAACUGGCCACUGUUCCUGAAGGCGGCAGGGGCAGCAAAGAUCCCGUGGUGCCUGAGUCCUGGAGGGGCAGCGAACCGGCCAUUCUUCCCGGCUCCCGGAAGCCUAGCGAUCUGGCUGCCAGCCCAGAGGGUUGGAAAAGCAGUGCGGAGCCGGCUGUUCCUGCGUCCCGAACAGAGAGUGUUGCGACCGAGUUCCAGAGGGGCAACGUGGAACUGGUGGUACCUGCGUCCAAAAGGAGCAGCAGGCAACAGAUUCCUUGUGGCUCCCGGAAGCCAAGCGAACUCGCCACUGUUCCUGAGGGCUGGAGGGGCAGCCAAGAGAAUCCUGUGCCCGAGUGCCAGAAGCGCAGAGAGGAAGCGGUUNUGCCUGAGUCCAAGAGAGGCAGCAAAAUAUCCAUUCUCCCCGGGUCCCGGAAGCCUAGUGAACUGGCUACGGGCCCCGAGGGGUGGACCGACAGCAAGGAUCUCACAGAACCUGAAUCCAGGAGAUACCUGGAGCAGCCCAGUGUUCCUGAAUCCCAGAG